UCUGCAGUGGCUGUGAUCUUUGACCAAGGAGGCAGGAAUAUCCAGUGGGAAAAAGACAGUCUCUUCAAUAAAUUAUCCUGGGAAAACUGAACAGCCACAUGCGAAAGAAUGAAACCAGACCACUUUCUUACACCGUACACAAAAUUCACUCUAAGUGGAUUAAAGACCUAAAUGUGAGGCCUGAAACUGUAAAACGUAUAGAAGAGAGCCCAGGCAGUAAUCUGACAUGGACCAUAGCAACACUUUUCUAGAUAUGUCUCCUAAAAACAUGAUUUUAAUUAAAAAAAUCAUCCUGUGUAUCAAGCGUCUCUCCCGAGCCGGCGCCUUCUCUCAGGAGCUCCCGGGCUGGUCUGGCAGGAGAGAGACCCACAGGCGGAGAGGACAAAAGCAUCCUGGAUGGACACGAAGAGGAUUGCCAAUGUAAAAGGGAUAGCACGGAGGUAUAAAAAGCAAAUGUUUUCCAAGUACAGUCUCCGAUCCUCAAGGAUGCCAGUAGUUUCAAAAGUAACUGUUAAACAUCAACUAGGGGAAUACUAGUGCAGGGGAGUGGCGCUUAAUGAAACGUUGAUUGGCGACUGCAUUCUUUCGAAACCGGAAUGGCUCCCAAGGGCUUCAUUGCACAACCCGGGACCCAGGCAGACCAACAGACCGUUCAGUGACUAGCAGGGUACUGCGUUUCCGACAUCUGUGUAUCUCAGCACGUUUGAUUUAUUGGAGACUUUCGCCAGCCCAGGCCAGAGUCAUUCUGGGACAGCUGGCCCCCGAGCCCUGCUGAGGAGCCUGGACGCAGCCCUCUGCUCCUGGCCGGACAUGAAAGGAAAGAUUCUAACAGCCCGUUCUCUGCCGGCUGCUUAUCCCAAGCGGGAACCCAGCGACAUCCACGCCGCGAGCCCUCAUCCUUCUCGUCUCGUCCCGCCAACCGCCGCAUCCCGACGGGGUCUGAUGAGACCCGGGGGUCUCGGGGUACACGGAGCCUGCGCCGCACCCCGUGGGCCGCUUGUGCCCAUUCUGCGGAGGCGGCCGCUGGGGCUGAGGGAGGUGGCCGGUCCUCGAGUGACGGGUGACGAGUGACGGAGGUCGGGCUGCAAUGGGAUCCGCCCGUUGCCGCGCCCAGGGUCCCUUCCUCCUUCCUAUUUGUCUUCUGCAGGCCGAGGGGCUGGGCCUCGCCUGUACAGGGUGUUCCCUGCAGCUUCGGGAUGGUGUUGUGUAAUCCUGUGGCUGCGUGUGGUGUGUGGGACGCUGAGCGUGGGGGCCUCUGCGGGGUCAGGCAAGGUUAAGCCGAGGCCCGAGCCCGUGGCGUCGGAUGGGAGCGGCCGCCAGCACCCCCUCGCCCUGGGGGACCGUGGGGGCAGAUGAUUUACGGCCGCCUCCUCCCUUGGUGCCACGGCAGAUGCAUCCGGAGACCGACGUGAGGACACACAGAUGGGCGAGAAGAGUCUCCCACGAGGCGGCCCCGUCCCACUCGCCUGAAUCAGAGGGUCCGGCCGCGCCCGGCGGGGGCCCCGGGUGGGAGCCGGGCUUCCUUGGCUUUCUGUGACUUUACAAAAGCAUCGUGUUGUUGGCGCAGAGCUUUGGCGCACCUGGGCCCGGCGUGCGAGGCUGCUCUGGAACAGAAGUGGUUCAAAGGGCAGGGCCGUUUGGCUGGCGCGUGGGCCACCCCAGCGCUCUCCGGCCUCUCCGUGUGACAGCAGUAACUCUCCAGUGAGACGGAAACGAUUCUGAGAUAACCGGAGAACACUGGCUUUCCACGCACACAAACAAAGCAGUUCAAAUUUU